rnacentral:rRNA from 1 species
GAUGAACGCUGACAGAAUGCUUAACACAUGCGAGUCUUUGGUGAAGCUGUGCUUGCACAGCCUAGCCAAGGCGGACGGGUGAGUAACGCGUAAGGAACUUGCCCUGCAGUCAGGGAUAACAGACGGAAACGACUGAUAAGACCUGGUAAAGUCAGGCGGACUCAUGUCCAGCCUGAUGAAAAGAGAUGCUGCAGGAGAGCCUUGCGUCCUAUUAGCUUGUUGGUGGGGUAACGGCCCACCAAGGCAAUGAUAGGUAGCCGGCCUGAGAGGGUGGACGGCCACAAGGGGACUGGGAUACGGCCCUUACUCCUACGGGAGGCAGCAGUGGGGAAUAUUGGACAAUGGGGGCAACCCUGAUCCAGCAAUUCUGUGUGCACGAUGAAGGUUUUCGGAUUGUAAAGUGCUUUCAGCAGGGAAGAAAAAAAUGACGGUACCUGCAGAAGAAGCGACGGCUAAAUACGUG